AGCUGCCGUUCAGUAGCCUCUUCGCGGGGCAAGCCCGCUCCUACAAACCGGUGGGAGCGGGCUUGCCCCGCGAUGAAAACAGAAAAGGCCGCAUCAGCGGCCUUUUCUGUUUCAAGCAUCAAGCACUCA
rnacentral:misc_RNA from 1 species